UAGAACAUUUGAUCGAUAAUACUUACCCAAAGAAAGUGGUAACCAACAUUGUUUGGUGAUCCUGAUCUUCACUCCUUUCUGGAGCCAUCCGAUAGUAUAUGGAUUCGGGUGAUCAUGUGUCUCAAGAUUUAAGUGUUUAACCAUGUUUUCAGAAACUAAAUUCUCACAGUUACAACUAUCAAUUACCAACUUGCAUACUUUUCCAUUCACAGUGCAUUUGCUUUCGAAUAUCCUCUUUCGUUGUCUCUUCAGGUUGCAUGGUUGAGCAUAGAAGGCGUUUGCAUGGUUGAGCAUAGAAGGCGUUUGCAUGGUUGAGCAUAGAAGGCGUUUGACCACACAUACUAUUUCUUCUUCCUCUUCUUCACAUAGUUUGGGUUAACCUUCACUUUCAUAGUUGUCCACCUUUUCAUCACUUUCAUCACGAUGAGUGGUGUUGACAAACUUCCUUCUUGGACAGUUGGUUGAUGUGUCCCUCUUCGUGGCACUUGUUACACUUGAUCGUAUUAGAUGGUUACUUAUCAUUAUUUUUGCUAGAAGAUGGUGCCUUUUCAUCUUUCUUUGCUUUAGAUGGAAUAAACUUCCCCUCCUCUUGGCGUGGAGAACUUUUUGAUAUACUUUCUGGGCGAGAAUAAGAUGUGGCUUUAUAAGACUUCUUGGUCUUUAUAUAUCUCUCAGCUUUCAAGGCAAGAGUUUGAGCUUGAUCUAUUGACCAAAUUUGUUGUAUGCCAAGACAUUCUUGGAUAGAAUCAUUGAGACCAUUGAUAUACCUUGCGACUUGUUGGUCUUCAUUUUCAGAAAGAUUGCACCUUACUUGUAAUCUUAAGAACUCCUCUGUAUAAUCAGAAACAGAUUUAUUACCUUGAACACAGUUAUGGAACUGUAGGUACAAGAGUUGUUCAUUAUCUGCAGGCAAGAACCUAGACUUUAGAAGUGCUUUCAUUUGUGGCCAAUAUCUUACACGAUUUUCACCCCUCAAACGAAGCUCUUCUUGAUGACGAUUUCACCAAGCUCCAGCACCUCCUUUCAAUUUAUAUGCCACCAAUGGUACUUGACGUUCUGGAGGGAUGUUCAUAAUCUCAAAGAAUGUCUCCACCUCAUAGAUCCAAUCAAGAAACCCUUCAAUGUUUACAUUACCAUUGAAAGUUGGGGAUUUCAGCCUUAAUCUUGUACAUAUCUCCACCAUUUGCAUGACCUCUUCUUGGUUGUGCAUAAAGACCAUGUUCCUCCACAUCAUCUUCCUCUUCCACAUAUUGAGCUCGAUGUUGUCUCCGGUUUCUGGCAACACCUCCUUAAUUGUUUCUCACUAAUACAACAAGUUCUUCAAACCUCCUAGUGAGUUCUUCACGAAGAGUAGCGAUUUGUUGAUCCAAUCUUUCUUCUAGGUUAUUCACCCUCAUUGUAAGAUCCUCUGUUGCUCUGAUACCUCUGAUACCAAACUGAUGUAGCACACAAUGUUUAGAGGAACUCUCUAAUGUGCUAAAUAAAGUAAACCACACAAUUUGUUGAAGGACAACUUCAACGUGUUGUAAGAUAACGCGUUAAAGACAAUCCGAAUCCACGGAUAACAUGAACUUAAUCCAAAGCCCUUAAAAUACAAGAUCUAAUCCAAGACCUUAAAAGAAAACACAAAGUUUCAUUAAUAGAAGAGUUGAAUUAAAAAACUACAUAGCUAGAGGUCAUUGCCUCUAUUUAUAGGCUUCAAAAGCCUUUGUACAACUCAUUGACAACUCAUACACAACUCAUUGACAACUCAUUUUCUUAAUAGCUAAGUAUUCUAGACUUAUGUAAAAGAUAAACUUGACAACUAGUAGCAAAAUUCAAAUUGACUUUCUCUUUCUAUAAGUAGCAAAGUUGAUUUUUGAUUCAUGAAGGUUCUGGACUAGGUUUAGAAUUUUAAUGUUCCUCAUCAGAAUUUCUGCUAUUACAUGUUCAGAUGGGUAUAACACAUUGUAUCGACUUUUACAGAUUUACAAUACACUUUGUUGGGCCAGAGUAUUCACAGAUAAGUAAUAUAUACACAUUCAUAAUAGGAGUUUUAAAUGAAGCGUCCAUCACAUUAGAUCCGCCCGCUGAGUAUAGCAACACCCAAUUUGUUUGACAAAUCUGAAAUCCGCAGGCUUUUCACUUUAAUAAAUUGUUACUAUCGAGAUUCUCUCUUUUAUAUUCCCAGUUUUAUCUGUUUGAAUUGGAUUUAGAUUGCAGUGAAUUAACUGUAGUGAAAGUGAAGAAAGGGCAGGAAAAUGGAUCCGGAUUCAGUGAAAUCGACUCUAUCUAAUUUGGCAUUUGGUAAUGUUAUGGCUGCUGCUGCUCGUGAUUACCAAAA